rnacentral:rRNA from 1 species
GAUGAACGCUGGCGACGUGGAUAAGGCAUGCAAGUCAAACGGGAACUUUUGAGAUUACAUCAAGAUUGUUCUAGUGGCGAACGAGGUAGUAAUACAUAGGUACGCACCCAAAAGCCGGGAAUAACUGAUCGAAAGAUCAGCUAAUACCCGAUAGUCCCUUCGGGGUAAAGAUUUAUCACUUUUGGAGCGGCCUGUGGGAUAUCAGCUAGUUGGUAGGGUAAUGGCCUACCAAGGCAAUGACGUCUAGGGGAGCUGAGAGGCUGACCCCCACCGAUGGAACUGAGACACGGUCCAUACACCUACGGGUGGCUGCAGUCGAGAAUCUUCCGCAAUGGGCGAAAGCCUGACGGAGCGACGUCGCGUGGUUGAUGAAGUCUUUCGGGAUGUAAAGACCUUUUAUGAGGGAGAAAGUUAUUGAUAGUACCUCAUGAAUAAGGGGUUGCUAAACUCGUG